UGCCUGGCGGCCUUAGCGCGGUGGUCCCACCUGACCCCAUGCCGAACUCAGAAGUGAAACGCCGUAGCGCCGAUGGUAGUGUGGGGUCUCCCCAUGUGAGAGUAGGGAACUGCCAGGCAU
rnacentral:rRNA from 2 species